rnacentral:lncRNA from 1 species
UCGUUGUUAUCGUUGUUGUCAUUGUUGUUGUUGUUGUCGUUUUUGUCGUCGUCGUCGUCUUUGUCGUCGUUUUUGUUGUUGUUGUUGUUGUUUUCAUCGUUGUUGUCGUUAUUUUUGUUGUUGUUGUUGUUGUUGAUGAUGUUGUUGUUGUUGUUGUUGUUGUUGUUGUUGUUGUUGUUCUUGUUGUNNNNNNNNNNAUCUUGUCGUUGUCGUUGUUGUCGUCACUGUCGUCAUCAUUUUUGUUAUUGUUGUUACCGUUGUUG